rnacentral:rRNA from 1 species
GUAGGUGGCAAGCGUUGUCCGGAAUUAUUGGGCGUAAAGCGCGCGCGGGCGGUUCUUUAAGUCUGAUGUGAAAGCCCACGGCUCAACCGUGGAGGGUCAUUGGAAACUGGAGAACUUGAGUACAGAAGAGGAAAGCGGAAUUCCACGUGUAGCGGUGAAAUGCGUAGAGAUGUGGAGGAACACCAGUGGCGAAGGCGGCUUUCUGGUCUGUAACUGACGCUGAGGCGCGAAAGCGUGGGGAGCAAACAGGGAUUAGAUACCCUGGUAGUCCACGCCGUAAACGAUGAGUGCUAAGUGUUAGGGGGUUUCCCGCCCCUUAGUGCUGCAGCUAACGCAUUAAGCACUCCGCCUGGGGAGUACGACCGCAAGGUUG